AUUGAACGCUGGCGGCAUGCUUUACACAUGCAAGUCGAACGGUAACAGGCCGCAAGGUGCUGACGAGUGGCGAACGGGUGAGUAAUGCAUCGGAACGUGCCCAGUCGUGGGGGAUAACUGCUCGAAAGAGCAGCUAAUACCGCAUACGAUCUAUGGAUGAAAGCGGGGGACCGUAAGGCCUCGCGCGAUUGGAGCGGCCGAUGUCAGAUUAGGUAGUUGGUGGGGUAAAGGCUCACCAAGCCAACGAUCUGUAGCUGGUCUGAGAGGACGACCAGCCACACUGGGACUGAGACACGGCCCAGACUCCUACGGGAGGCAGCAGUGGGGAAUUUUGGACAAUGGGGGCAACCCUGAUCCAGCAAUGCCGCGUGCAGGAAGAAGGCCUUCGGGUUGUAAACUGCUUUUGUACGGAACGAAACGGUCUGGUUAAUACCCUGGGCUAAUGACGGUACCGUAAGAAUAAGCACCGGCUAACUACGUGCCAGCCGCCGCAGUAAGAC
rnacentral:rRNA from 1 species